AUGAGUUUACCGAAUUGUUUCAAAACUUGUAAGCGUAGUUUUUGUAGCCUAUAUGUUACAGUGUCUGGGAGCUGGAAGAGCACGGAGGGUGGGGAGAGGUACAAGGCAGGAGCAGGGGGCACCCACCCCGGUGCCAGCCAGGCCCACACCAACAGAACACAGCCCUGUGGGGCCUGGGCUAGGUGUGCAGAGCCCCCGAGACAGACUCCCUGGAAGGGUGAGGGGUGGAUCAGGCCGGAGGGCUUUCCAAGGAACCCAGACAGGGCCAGCAGGGGACAGGGAUGGACACAGGCACCCUACGGCACACCUUGGUGGGGACGAAAACUGAAAUUGUGUUCCUGGGCCACACGGAGGUACUGGAGAGAGGCCUGGUGGUGCUGGGCUGGCUGCAGACCGCCUCUAUGCUAUGGAGAAACAGUAACACUGCCAGAGCUGUCCUGCUGCUCGUGGAAAUGUGGGCGGUGCCAUCCCCUGCCACGUCCCGCUGCCACAGAGGAACACGCCGCUUGUGUGCUGCAGCCCAUGCCAGCACCGCACAUUCGGGCUUCCUCCCAGAUGUCCCAUCAUGGGGCGCUUCAGGCUCUGCCGGGUGUGCUCUGCGAUAUAGGUACACGGCAUGUGGGAGCCAGGUUCUGCUCUGGCACCGGGGCAGUAUGUGCACAUAGGAGCGCGUACAUAUCGGUAUGCAAGCGUCGUGGGCAUUGGUAGCCUGGACUCAAGUGUACCUCAACUACAAGAGGUUGUAAACAGGAGGAAAUGCUCACUCACCUCUCCUAAUGCAAGAUGGCUGUUGAGUAAAACAGGACAACUUAGCACAUGGGAAAGGGUUAACUACGUAAAGGUAAGAGACAAAGUAACUUUCAGAGUGAAUGGGAAGCUGAGCAGAGUUAGUUGUAAAUUAGGCAUCUUAGCAUCUUCCAGGGGAAGCCAGCCUACAUCCAGUAUUUUUCAUCUGGGCAGACUGAAAAAUCUGUGUCGUCAUUGGCAGCAAACACUGAUAUAAGUCCUGCCUGAAAUUUUCAAAGUAUCUUCUAUUGAGGAUAUAAAUCUAAAGUAGCUAUCUUUCUUUUCUAAUGCCUCAGGUCUAAAUAUAUUCUGUUUUCCAUAGAGACCAUCUAUAAUUUAAAUGAUUUACUCUGUGCAUAAAGAGUGUGAAUUCUCCAAGUGUUCCUGCUCUUAUUUCUCAAAGGAAGCCCUUGGAAAAAAAAAAAAAAAAAAAAAAAAAAAAUCCUAAAACAAACCUUCAUUCAAAAAAAAGGAAAAAACNNNNNNNNNNNNNNNNNNNNNNNNNGGCCUUAAACAUACAUUCAUUCAAGAAGCAGGUACAAUCUCUGAAGUACUGCUUCACCUUAAAACUAUCAACACAGGAACACAUUUUGAAAACAACAAAGUGACUGCCGAGUGUAUGAACAAUAUUGAGAUGGCAGUAUAAGAUCAGUCACUUUUCCCAGAUCUUUAAUAUCAAACCAAAGACAGAGUUUGACUGAGAUUAAGGUUACCACAAAUAACAAGAUACAAACAUUUGUAUUUUCAAGUGGUGACUAAAUCAGUUUGUAGGGGUUAUAUAUUAUUUCAGCACUAUGUUUAAACAGUAUUUCCUCCUGGCAAUGUGCUGCACUGAUUUUUCUUGUCACACUGGCUUCUCGGGGUAUGUGCAAACGUCUCCUGUUAUCUCCUGUAGCAGAAUCUCACUAAUUGAUGCAAAAUGUACAGAUGCUAUACAUUACUGACUUCCAGCUGCAGAUUCACUAGUAGUGGGGGUUGGGGUUGGAAUAAGGGAGCUGUAAGUACAUUAAACUCUUACUACAUUGUAUUGGCCUUUGCUUGUGUGGCUUUUGACCUUUCCCCACUCUCUUCUCUUUUCCCUUCAAAAUGGGACUGUCUUGACAUCUGCAGUUUUCUGAGAAUUAAUUACAGCACCCCCAUAAACUGAAGAUUUUUGCAUCAUUAAUUAUAUACCAUGAGGACUUACUUUCCUUAAUGUGAUUUUUUUUUUCCCAUUCUUUUGGCUACACGUUCAUAUCCUAUUUGAACGGAUGUUCGGAGAACAAGCAGCUAAAUAUUUCAAAGUGUUUUGAAAGAAGUAUCCUGAGGAUAUUGAAUUAAAAUGAACAGCAGCAAUAAUGAAAUUGUUAGAGCUUGCAGCAAAAGUGCAGACUACCUCCUCUCCUGCUGCAAGUCUCAAACAGAAUCUGAUGUGAUCCAGACAAAACCUUCCCUAGAGUGGGAACAGAUUAGCUCGAACAAAAGUUUACUAAAUCACUAGAUCAAACUUAAGAGCUCCAGUAUUAUGAUGCAAGUCUGUGUCCUUUUUCUCCCUCUCAGCUUACAACACCAAGUAAAAAAGAAGCACCUUGAUUUCUAAACAUUCUUCAGUGGGCUCUGUGUGUUAUUUUUCAGGUAUUUUGUCUAUUUUCUCUCUGUGUGUAUGCUAGCUUUCAAGAGUGAUUUAAAAAUAGCAUUUAGGGAGCUUUUGUUAACCAAGACAUACCUGUUGCAAUACCUUUUGCAAAGAAGUUCUUAGCCCUAUGUAUAUACUCUUUUUAGAUGUCUGCACUUGUUUUCCUCAUUUCCUGUGAAAAUGAUACGUACAGAAAAUCCUUUCCUAAUGAAGUCUUCUGUAGCAAAUUUCAUAGGUAUAUGUGAACAAAGAAAACUAACAUAGUACAUGUGUGAUUGCCUUUUACUAUGCAGCAGAUAGGUUCUAUAUUGAAUGGAGUUUUAUUUUUUGUUUUGUUUUGUUUCUGCUCCCUUUCUCGUACAUGUGGUACAUGAAUCUGAGCAAAAGUGGUAAAACUUUUUCACUUUCUUUGCAUCAAGCAUGAUUUAUAAUUGGCUUUCUUUUAGGAAUAAAGCAUCCAAAGUGUGCA
ensembl:lncRNA